UACGGAGGGUGCAAGCGUUGUCCGGAAUCAUUGGGUGUAAAGAGCGUGUAGGCGGCCCGGUAAGUCCGCUGUGAAAGUCCAGGGCUCAACCCUGGAAUGCCGGUGGAAACUGUCGGGCUAGAGUCCGGAAGAGGCGAGUGGAAUUCCUGGUGUAGCGGUGAAAUGCGCAGAUAUCAGGAGGAACACCAAUGGCGAAGGCAGCUCGCUGGGACGGUACUGACGCUGAGACGCGAAAGCGUGGGGAGCAAACAGG
rnacentral:rRNA from 1 species